rnacentral:rRNA from 1 species
CACGUAGGGGGCAAGCGUUGUCCGGAUUUAUUGGGCGUAAAGAGCUCGUAGGCGGCUCAGUAAGUCAGGUGUGAAACCUCCAGGCUCAACCUGGAGACGCCACCUGAUACUGCUGUGGCUAGAGUCCGGUAGGGGAGCGUGGAAUUCCUGGUGUAGCGGUGAAAUGCGUAGAGAUCGGGAGGAACAUCAGUGGCGAAGGCGGCCAUCUGGGACAACACUGACGCUGAAGCACGAAAGCGUGGGGAGCAAACAGG